UUGAGCUCCCAUAUUUAAGCCUAACUACUUUUUAGAGUAUUUAAACUUUAGCCUGCGGAGGGAAACUUUAAACAAAAGCAUUGUUUUUGUUGCUGCUGCCUUUUCCUCCUUACUUUCCAUUCUCCCCAUUUUUAAUCCGCAACCUAAAAAUUCCAACUAUAUAAUUUCAGAAGUUGGAGGAGGUCAUAUGAACCCAUCUAUCCAAACAAGGUGGAUUGGAUUCUGCUUAUAACGUGUUCGACAUGUUGCUCCAAUGAUAUUUGAGGCUCAAUACAUCAAGGAUACAUAAGCGUUCGGAUCGUCGUUUUAGGAGUUGAAAAGGUACCCGAAGUAAGUUUUGUUUGAAAAUUUUAGGUUUAAGUGUUUUAUUUUUUAAGAUUUUAAUUUAAGCGUGUUAUUUUUUAAUCAAGACAUAACUUUAUUUUGAAUAUAAAGCUAAUUCAAUUUGAUAAAAAAGUAUUUAAAAAUAUAUGGAGAAAAACUAGUUGUAAAGUGGUUAAACUUUAGAUAGUCAUAACUUUGCACUCGGACGUCUAAUUUACGCGAUUUUUUUUUUUUUUGAUUUUGGGUAUUUUUCCGAGAUCUAUGCGGACAAACGGCCGUAAGGCGGUUUGACCGAGCCGAUUUUUAAAAAAACGCCUUUUAUCCCAUUCAAUUUCAAUUUUCCCUCAAAUUGGUGUGGAAUUUUCAGUUUUAUUUACUUAUAAUAUGAUGAUACGCAAUAGAUUUCAACGUAAA